GCAAUAAUAAGUGCAGUAACAACAAUAGCUACAGUAUUUUUUUAUUUUAUUUUUUAACUCCUUUAUAAUGUUUUUUUGUAUACAUAUGUAUUUAUACAUAUAUUUUUUAAUUAUUUAAAGGAAAACAAUGAAAUUAUAUUAUGUGUGGGUAAUAGUCUUAACUGCUGUAAUUUUAAAAUUUUUAAAAUGUGUGACUAUUCUGUGUCAGUGUUGUUACCACUUACUAAUAUAUGUAAAGAUUGCUAUGGUAAAAAAGAAAAAACAAAUCCAUUUGAAGAUAAUACUACCAAUAAAAAUAUGUUAAUUACAUAUUCUUCGACCGUUAAUAGCUUACCAUGUAAAUUGACAAUUGAAAAAAGUUCUAUAGAUUUAUCACAGAACAUACUAGAGCUAGUCUAUAAAUUAUUAAAAGGGUCAAGGAUAUAUAAAAAAAACAUAUCCUUAGCAUUGUUUUAUUUUCACUUUUUUUAUUCCUAUCUUUCUUUUUUUUUAUUUAUUAUUGCCAUUUGUUUCUUGCCACCUAUUAUAGCGGUUGUUGAUUAUUUAUUGUUUAUUUUUAUAAUAAUACCAGUACUUUCGGUGAUCCUCUUAAACAAUAACAACAAUUCUACAAUAAUGAACGACAUUCCAGAUAAAAAUAUAAAAAAAGAUGCAGUUAUUAAGUCUUUGGUAAAAAAUAAAAAAAUAAAAAAAAUUAAAAAAAUAAAUGAACGAACAAACGAACACAAACAUGAGCUUAAAGAGCUGAUAAUACUGUGUUUUUAUAUUACCUACGUGCUUGUACAAAUUUUUUAAUAAAUAUAGAAUGUGUGUGUUUAUAUCUUCCAUACAUAUACAUGUUUGCUUCUAUUUUUUCAUUCACGAGUUCGUUUAUUUAUUUUAUUUUAUUUUAUUUAUUCUUUAUUAUUUAUUCUUUAUUAUUUAUUAUUUAUUAUUUAUU
rnacentral:lncRNA from 1 species